CAGUCGCCGCGGGAACACGGAGGGGGCUAGCGUUGUUCGGAAUUACUGGGCGUGAAGCGCACGUAGGCGGCUUGGUAAGUUAGAGGUGAAAGCCUGGAGCUCAACUCCAGAAUUGCCUUUAAGACUGCCGAGCUAGCAGGUGAGAGAGGUAAGUGGAAUUCCGAGUGUAGAGGUGAAAUUCGUAGAUAUUCGGAAGAACACCAGUGGCGAAGGCGGCUUACUGGCUCAUACUGGACGCUGAGGUGCGAAAGCGUGGGGAGCAAACAGGAUUAGAUACCCGAGUAGUCCCUGUCUCUUAUAC
rnacentral:rRNA from 1 species